AUGCACGCUGGCGGCGUGCCUAAUACAUGCAAGUCGAGCGAACAGAUGAGGAGCUUGCUCCUCUGACGUUAGCGGCGGACGGGUGAGUAACACGUGGACAACCUACCUAUAAGACUGGGAUAACUUCGGGAAACCGGAGCUAAUACCGGAUAAUAUAUUGAACCGCAUGGUUCAAUAGUGAAAGACGGUUUUGCUGUCACUUAUAGAUGGAUCCGCGCCGCAUUAGCUAGUUGGUAAGGUAACGGCUUACCAAGGCAACGAUGCGUAGCCGACCUGAGAGGGUGAUCGGCCACACUGGAACUGAGACACGGUCCAGACUCCUACGGGAGGCAGCAGUAGGGAAUCUUCCGCAAUGGGCGAAAGCCUGACGGAGCAACGCCGCGUGAGUGAUGAAGGUCUUCGGAUCGUAAAACUCUGUUAUUAGGGAAGAACAAAUGUGUAAGUAACUAUGCACGUCUUGACGGUACCUAAUCAGAAAGCCACGGCUAACUACGUG
rnacentral:rRNA from 1 species